rnacentral:rRNA from 2 species
AUCCAGACUUUGAUCAUGGCUCAGGAUGAACGCUAGCUACAGGCUUAACACAUGCAAGUCGAGGGGAAACGACAUCGAAAGCUUGCUUUUGAUGGGCGUCGACCGGCGCACGGGUGAGUAACGCGUAUCCAACCUGCCCAUCACUUGGGGAUAACCUUGCGAAAGUAAGACUAAUACCCAAUGAUAUCUCUAGAAGACAUCUGAAAGAGAUUAAAGAUUUAUCGGUGAUGGAUGGGGAUGCGUCUGAUUAGCUUGUUGGCGGGGUAACGGCCCACCAAGGCAACGAUCAGUAGGGGUUCUGAGAGGAAGGUCCCCCACAUUGGAACUGAGACACGGUCCAAACUCCUACGGGAGGCAGCAGUGAGGAAUAUUGGUCAAUGGACGAGAGUCUGAACCAGCCAAGUAGCGUGCAGGAUGACGGCCCUAUGGGUUGUAAACUGCCUUUAUAAGGGAAUAAAGUGAGUCUCGUGAGACUUUUUGCAUGUACCUUAUGAAUAAGGACCGGCUAAUUCCGUGCCAGCAGCCGCGGUAAUACGGAAGGUCCGGGCGUUAUCCGGAUUUAUUGGGUUUAAAGGGAGCGUAGGCCGGAGAUUAAGCGUGUUGUGAAAUGUAGAUGCUCAACAUCUGAACUGCAGCGCGAACUGGUUUCCUUGAGUACGCACAAAGUGGGCGGAAUUCGUGGUGUAGCGGUGAAAUGCUUAGAUAUCACGAAGAACUCCGAUUGCGAAGGCAGCUCACUGGAGCGCAACUGACGCUGAAGCUCGAAAGUGCGGGUAUCGAACAGGAUUAGAUACCCUGGUAGUCCGCACGGUAAACGAUGGAUGCCCGCUGUUGGUCUGAAUAGGUCAGCGGCCAAGCGAAAGCAUUAAGCAUCCCACCUGGGGAGUACGCCGGCAACGGUGCA